rnacentral:rRNA from 1 species
AUUGAACGCUGGCGGCAUGCCUUACACAUGCAAGUCGAACGGUAACAGGUCUUCGGAUGCUGACGAGUGGCGAACGGGUGAGUAAUACAUCGGAACGUGCCCGAUCGUGGGGGAUAACGAGGCGAAAGCUUUGCUAAUACCGCAUACGAUCUACGGAUGACAGCGGGGGAUCUUCGGACCUCGCGCGGACGGAGCGGCCGAUGGCAGAUUAGGUAGUUGGUGGGAUAAAAGCUUACCAAGCCGACGAUCUGUAGCUGGUCUGAGAGGAUGAUCAGCCACACUGGGACUGAGACACGGCCCAGACUCCUACGGGAGGCAGCAGUGGGGAAUUUUGGACAAUGGGCGAAAGCCUGAUCCAGCCAUGCCGCGUGCAGGAUGAAGGCCUUUGGGUUGUAAACUGCUUUUGUACGGAACGAAAAGCCUCUUUCUAAUAAAGAGGGGUCAUGACGGUACCGUAAGAAUAAGCACCGGCUAACUACGUG